CGGGACGGGUGAGUAACGCGUGGGUAACCUGCCUUAUACAGGGGGAUAACAGUCAGAAAUGGCUGCUAAUACCGCAUAAGCGCACAGAGCUGCAUGGCUCAGUGUGAAAAACUCCGGUGGUAUAAGAUGGACCCGCGUUGGAUUAGCUUGUUGGCAGGGUAACGGCCUACCAAGGCGACGAUCCAUAGCCGGCCUGAGAGGGUGAACGGCCACAUUGGGACUGAGACACGGCCCAGACUCUACGGGAGGCAGCAUG
rnacentral:rRNA from 1 species